rfam:Drosophila ficusphila unplaced genomic scaffold scf7180000453811, whole genome shotgun sequence
AGCACCUAAAAAGCGUUUUCCUGACAGCCCAUUAAAUGCUCUUGAAGAUCGUAGUUGUGUGCCAGAGCAAAGCUCAGUUGCAAGUGUUUCUGCUUUAUUUAAUGACAGAAUUCCAUAUUGCUGACUAUAUAU